rnacentral:rRNA from 1 species
CCUACGGGUGGCAGCAGUGGGGAAUAUUGCACAAUGGGGGAAACCCUGAUGCAGCGACGCCGCGUGAGCGAUGAAGUAUUUCGGUAUGUAAAGCUCUAUCAGCAGGGAAGAAAAUGACGGUACCUGACUAAGAAGCCCCGGCUAACUACGUGCCAGCAGCCGCGGUAAUACGUAGGGGGCAAGCGUUAUCCGGAUUUACUGGGUGUAAAGGGAGCGUAGACGGCUGUGCAAGCCAGAUGUGAAAGCCCUGGGCUCAACCCCGGGACUGCAUUUGGAACUGUGUGGCUGGAGUGCAGGAGGGGCAGGCGGAAUUCCUGGUGUAGCGGUGAAAUGCGUAGAUAUCAGGAGGAACACCGGUGGCGAAGGCGGCCUGCUGGACUGCAACUGACGUUGAGGCCCGAAAGCGUGGGGAGCAAACAGGAUUAGAUACCCCUGUAGUC